GAUGAACGCUAGCGGGAGGCUUAACACAUGCAAGUCGAGGGGCAGCAUAGGGUAGCAAUACUCUGAUGGCGACCGGCAAACGGGUGAGUAACGCGUAUGCAACCUACCCUGUACAGGGGGAUAACCCGGAGAAAUUCGGACUAAUAUCCCGUAAUAAUAUCCGGAGGCAUCUUUGGAUAUUUAAAGUUCCGACGGUACGGGAUGGGCAUGCGUAACAUUAACUGGUUGGUAAGGUAACGGCUUACCAAGGCUAUGAUGUUUAGGGGUCCUGAGAGGGUGGUCCCCGACAACGUGGUACUGAGACACGGACCAGACUCCUACGGGAGGCAGCAGUGAGGAAUAUUGGUCAAUGGGCGCAAGCCUGAACCAGCCAUCCCGCGUGCAGGAAGACGGCCCUAUGGGUUGUAAACUGCUUUUCCAGGGAGAGAAACUUACGCACGUGUUGCGUGACUGACGGUACCCUGGGAAUAAGCAUCGGCUAACUCCGUG
rnacentral:rRNA from 1 species